rnacentral:rRNA from 1 species
UAUGCGAGGGCCCUUGCAUCCCGGUUAAAAUGGAUUGGCCGCAAUUUCUCCCCUUUUUAUAAGGGGUUUCCCCAGUAAGGCGAGUGAAGAGGGAAGAGCUCAAAUUGAAAGCKKRYMCCUUCGGUAUCCGCGUUGUAACCUCGAGACACGUUUUCCGUGCGGCGCUAUGGACAAGUUCCUUGGAACAGGACAUCGUAGAGGGUGAAAAUCCCGUACUUGCCAYGGAUGUACCGUGCUUUGCGAUACGUGCUCUWAGAGUCGAGUUGUUUGGGAUUGCAGCUCAAAAUGGGUGGUAGACUCCAUCUAAAGCUAAAUAUCGGGGAGAGACCGAUAGCGAACAAGUACCGUGAGGGAAAGAUGAAAAGCACUUUGGAAAGAGAGUUAAAAGUACGUGAAAUUGUCGAAAGGGAAGCGCUUGAAGUCAGCCAUGCCGCUCAGGACUCAGCCUGGCUUUUGCUUGGUGUAUUUCCUGGGUAGCAAGUCAGCAUUGGUUUGGAUCGUCGGAGAAGCAUAGUCGGAAUGUGGCGCCCUCGGGCGUGUUAUAGCCUUCUAUUGGAUACGACGAUMUAGACCAAGGAACGCAGCGCGCCUUAUGGCGGGUCUUCGGACACCUUCGCGCUUAGGAUGCUUGGCCUUUAUUGGGGGCGUGCUUUCCCCCCCUUCCCUUUUAGGGGUGCCCCCCAGAACCCGAG